rnacentral:rRNA from 1 species
UACGUAGGGCGCGAGCGUUGUCCGGAAUUAUUGGGCGUAAAGAGCUCGUAGGCGGCCUGUUGCGUCCGCUUUGAAAUCCCAGGGCUCAACCCUGGGCGUGCAGUGGAUACGGGCAGGCUGGAGGCAGGCAGGGGAGAACGGAAUUCCCGGUGUAGCGGUGAAAUGCGCAGAUAUCGGGAAGAACACCCGUGGCGAAGGCGGCUCUCUGGGACGGUACUGACGCUGAGACGCGAAAGCGUGGGGAGCGAACAGG